rnacentral:lncRNA from 1 species
CGCUCCGGCUUCACCUGCAACGUGUCGAUUGCACGGAUGGUCGCGGCGCGUGGCUCCGGCCCCGGGCCCGCCGCCCAGCCUCUGCUAGGAUUAAUGACCCGUCUUCCCGUCUCGGAGGUUUUGAAGUUCACGGCUCUUCUUUGCAAAGCAAAAGGAAAAUGCAUUCGGACGCCAGCACUUCUGGGUUGCGGUGAUCGAGAAUCACCCAGAGAGCACUUUCGAUAGAGCGGAGCCCCGAGAUUUCCUAGAGGACAGGCCGGGGCUGACCUUCUGCCCCUUUGGAGGACUACAUGACCUCCCACUGCUGCUGUGCCUCUCCCUACACUACAGCCAGCUCACACCCUUCUGAGAGCAGCUUUCCAGUCCAACCACUGGAACACAGAUUUCAGGAGGAGGAUUACAGGAUGCAGGCACCGGGGCUCUGUGAGCUCCCCUGAAACCUUCUUCUUUGGGUUUUCCAGAAAAGG